rnacentral:rRNA from 1 species
GAUGAACGCUGGCGGUAUGCUUAACACAUGCAAGUCGAACGGGCUCUUCGGAGUUAGUGGCGGACGGGUGAAUAACGCGUGAGAAUCUGGCUUUGGGUUCGGGACAACCACUGGAAACGGUGGCUAAUACCGGAUGUGCCGAGAGGUAAAAGAGAAAUUGCCUGAAGAUGAGCUCGCGUCUGAUUAGCUAGUUGGUGAGGUAAAGGCUCACCAAGGCAGCGAUCAGUAGCUGGUCUGAGGGGAUGACCAGCCACACUGGGACUGAGACACGGCCCAGACUCCUACGGGAGGCAGCAGUGGGGAAUUGUCCGCAAUGGGCGAAAGCCUGACGGAGCAAUACCGCGUGAGGGAAGAAGGCUCUUGGGUUGUAAACCUCUUUUCUUAGGGAGGAACAAAAUGACGGUACCUAAGGAAUCAGCAUCGGCUAACUCCGUG